CAGUCGCCGCGGUAAUACGUAGGUCCCGAGCGUUGUCCGGAUUUAUUGGGCGUAAAGCGAGCGCAGGCGGUUUGAUAAGUCUGAAGUUAAAGGCUGUGGCUCAACCAUAGUUCGCUUUGGAAACUGUCAAACUUGAGUGCAGAAGGGGAGAGUGGAAUUCCAUGUGUAGCGGUGAAAUGCGUAGAUAUAUGGAGGAACACCGGUGGCGAAAGCGGCUCUCUGGUCUGUAACUGACGCUGAGGCUCGAAAGCGUGGGGAGCGAACAGGAUUAGAUACCCCUGUAGUCCCUGUCUCUUAUACA
rnacentral:rRNA from 1 species